UACAGAGGUCCCAAGCGUUGUUCGGAUUUACUGGGCGUAAAGGGUGCGUAGGCGGUGGGGUAAGUUUGAGGUGAAAGCUCCGGGCUCAACCCGGAAAAUGCCUUGAAAACUAUCCGGCUAGAGGGUUGGAGGGGAGACUGGAAUUCUCGGUGUAGCAGUGAAAUGCGUAGAUCUCGAGAGGAACACCAGUGGCGAAGGCGGGUCUCUGGGACAACACCUGACGGCUGAGGCACGAAAGCCAGGGGAGCAAACGGG
rnacentral:rRNA from 1 species